UGGGGAAUAUUGCACAAUGGGGGAAACCCUGAUGCAGCAACGCCGCGUGAAGGAUGAAGGUUUUCGGAUCGUAAACUUCUAUCAUCAGGGACGAAACAAAUGACGGUACCUGAAUAAGAAGCCCCGGCUAACUACGUGCCAGCAGCCGCGGUAAUACGUAGGGGGCAAGCGUUAUCCGGAAUUACUGGGUGUAAAGGGAGCGUAGGCGGCACGUCAAGCCAGAUGUGAAAGCCCGGGGCUUAACCCCGUGGAUUGCAUUUGGAACUGGCGAGCUAGAGUACAGGAGAGGAAAGCGGAAUUCCUAGUGUAGCGGUGAAAUGCGUAGAUAUUAGGAAGAACACCAGUGGCGAAGGCGGCUUUCUGGACUGAAACUGGCGCUGAGGCUCGAAAGCGUGGGGAGCAAACAGGAUUAGAUACCC
rnacentral:rRNA from 1 species